CGCCAUCUUUGCUGUUUGGAAAACGGCCAUUCCAGCCUGCGAGCUUUGGAGAGACCAAGCCCCCUGAGGCAGAGGCCGCGCCUCAGCAUGUUACAGCUGUUUUGUUGAGGUGUGGUGAGGUUGCUUCUUUAAAUGCGACCCUGAUACAUUCCUCCUCCCUGGGCAGGUCCUUCCCUCUGGAGCCUCCAGCCACCCCUGCCUGUGUUCUGUUGCGGAAAGACUUCUAAUUUCUCCUUGGGGCAGAGUGCCUGCGGAGUGGGGCGGGCCGCCGCCUUGGCUGUUUGUGAAGCGGCAUCGUUGUCUGGGGGUAUGAUUUAAUACACUUUACCGACCUGAAUUCAUUGGAUAUAUGUAAAAAUGAAGGAAUGCACGUUAUUCUGCUUGAUGCUCUGCAGAGAGGAGCUGCCUGAGAGGUUGCACCUGCAGUCCUGGAUGCACUGGCCCCAGGGGUGGUUGGUGCUGACUCCACAUUUGUCUAAUAAGAUGUCCAGAUACAAAAAUGUCUGUGAUGUGGGAACCGUUACAGAUCUAGGAGAGUUUUUUCAACAGCAAAAAAAGCAAAGCCUGUUUCUGUCAAAGUCUUUUAUUUUAUUUUUGAAUUUGACCUUUUAAAAUAAGAUUAAAACAUUCCAUCAAGACUCCCUUUAG
rnacentral:lncRNA from 1 species